AUAUAUUGAGCACAACAAUGCCCUUGCUUCAACCUGAAUUAUAGAACCAACAGAACCCCCAAGAGAAAACAGAGAGAAAAUGGGAAGCAAAACGUCGAUUCGCCAAUUGGCUCCUAAAGUUGUGUUCUUCUUGAUCAUCAUGUUCAUGAGUUCGAUCCCAGUGAACUCAAUAACAUGUCAGGAUGCCUUGCCACCUUUACUUCCAUGUUUAUCAUUUGCUACGGGCGCAGUUCCGCCUCCACCGAGUGCCAACUGUUGUUCGGGUGCGCAAACCUUGGCGAGCAAGGUGACUACCACCGAAGAUCGCCGGACUCUGUGCAAAUGUUACCAGAGCAUUCCGCCUUCCAUAGGGAUCAAGCCUGACAGAAUCCAAGCGAUCCCUCAGUAUUGCAAGGUUAACGUCACCAUCCCAACAGACCCUCACGCUGAUUGCAACAGCAUUCCGUGAAGGACGAAAUCUUCAGAUGGGUCCUGAUUUUCAAGUCCGGACGUUUGAGGAGACACAGAGUUUGACACAUUGCCGCUGUCUUUACAUUUUCAUGUAACAAUCGAAUAAGCAAUGUCAAUAAAGAGUUCGUAACUUUCUUA